AGGUCCUGCGUUGUAUCUUCCCAAGUGGCGUGGAUGUGAGGAGACACGACAUUUCACCUGAUGUUCCAUGGGAGACCCUACUGGUGAUGUGGACCUGACCCUCCGCCAUGUAGCAGACAACCCCCUCAGGUCCUGCGUUGUAUCUUCCCAAGUGGCGUGGAUGUGAGGAGACACGACAUUUCACCUGAUGUUCCAUGGGAGACCCUACUGGUGAUGUGGACCUGACCCUCCGCCAUGUAGCAGACAACCCCCUCAGGUCCUGCGGUGUAUCUUCCCAAGUGGCGUGGAUGUGAAGAGACAGAUCCCCUGAUGUUCCCUGGGCAAUCUACUUACAUACAAUUCAACUGCAUUACAAAUUUUAAUAAAAACCACAGGAAACUUCUAUUUUUAAAAGUUUAUUGAAGAAAAAAAUUUUUU